UGAAGGUCCAUGUUUGGCAAAAGACUAUACCGAUGGCAUGCAUGCUUUAAUUGAUGCCAUGAAAUAGCCCUUUACAAUUGGUACUGUUAUUCUAGGGCUGCUUUUUCUCUUUAUACAAGGUGGGACCAUGCUUUCCAAAUAAAACUCAGCAUUCACUGACUUAUAGAAUUGUAGUUUUGAGAACCACGCUCAAACAUUGUCAAAAAAUUCUAGGGCAUGUACCUUUUAAAAUGAUCUGUUGUGUUCUUUUCACUUUCCAUUCUCUUUUGGUGCAUGCUGCUGCUACUGUUUGCUGUUAAAUGGUUGCUGGUUUCACUUCAGAUGGGUGCAGGUUUGAGUUAACGAAGGUAAAAGCUAGGUCAUUUGAGAACAAUAUGACUUUUCUGAAAGCUAAAUCAUAGAGAAACUUUCUGUGGCUUAACUGGUCUCAGCUUGGCAUCUCUCUUGUAGUUGAAGUCAAAUAGAGGCUAGGGCUACAUUCGUCUAAAGGUUCAGUUGAGUUGGAAUGUGGCAUGGCUGGCAGUUGAUGAUGACUGUUUCCUAGGAGUUCUGCUGGAGCUACAUGCCUGAACACCAACCAAUAACCUUUUCAUGUGGCUGAGACCUUUCAUAUGGCCACAGUCCUCAGAGACAGCAUCCCAAGAGUGAUCCUUUUAAGAGGCUCAGGUGCAAGGCUAGUCUAGCCUGCUGGACAAUGAGAGGCCUACGGAACAGGGCGGAGUCACCAUAUCCCACUGAAACUGGCCUAGGUUAGCCAACAGCCCACCUCUCCCAGGCACGUGAAAGCUCAGCGGACUCUGAACAGAUGGACAAUAAACAUUUACUGUGUUUGCCACAUAAGUUUUGUAUUUGUCAUUAUAAAGCAUUAUUGUGACAAUAGAGAAACUAACAUACUUUCUAAAGUGGAAUUUGAUCAUGUUGCUUAAAAAACUGUGACCGUCCAUACUAACUGCUCACCAAAUAGCCAUUAUGCCUUUUCUUUUUUCUCCUUAUAACAGAACUUGAUUUUGAUGGGGACAAAUUUU
rnacentral:lncRNA from 10 species